rnacentral:rRNA from 1 species
AUUGAACGCUGGCGGCAGGCCUAACACAUGCAAGUCGAGCGGAUGAAGGGAGCUUGCUCCUGGAUUCAGCGGCGGACGGGUGAGUAAUGCCUAGGAAUCUGCCUGGUAGUGGGGGAUAACGUCCGGAAACGGGCGCUAAUACCGCAUACGUCCUGAGGGAGAAAGUGGGGGAUCUUCGGACCUCACGCUAUCAGAUGAGCCUAGGUCGGAUUAGCUAGUUGGUGGGGUAAAGGCCUACCAAGGCGACGAUCCGUAACUGGUCUGAGAGGAUGAUCAGCCACACUGGAAGUGAGACACGGUCAAGACUACUACGGGAGGCAGCAGUGGGGAAUAUUGGACAAUGGGCGAAAGCAUGAUCCAGCCAUGCCGAGUGUGUGAAGAAGGUGCUCGGAUUGUAAAGCACUUUAAGUUGGGAGGAAGGGCAGUAAGUUAAUACCUUGCUGUUUUGACGUUACCAACAGAAUAAGCACCGGCUAACUUCGUG